GUGAGGAAUAUUGGACAAUGGGCGCAAGCCUGAUCCAGCCAUGCCGCGUGCAGGAAGACGCAUCUAUGGUGUGUAAACUGCUUUUGUACGGGAAGAAACACUCCCUCGUGAGGGAGCUUGACGGUACCGUAAGAAUAAGGAUCGGCUAACUCCGUGCCAGCAGCCGCGGUAAUACGGAGGAUCCAAGCGUUAUCCGGAAUCAUUGGGUUUAAAGGGUCCGUAGGCGGUUUAAUAAGUCAGUGGUGAAAGCCCAUCGCUCAACGAUGGAACGGCCAUUGAUACUGUUAGACUUGAAUUACAAGGAAGUAACUAGAAUAUGUAGUGUAGCGGUGAAAUGCUUAGAUAUUACAUGGAAUACCAAUUGCGAAGGCAGGUUACUACUUGUGGAUUGACGCUGAUGGACGAAAGCGUGGGGAGCGAACAGGAUUAGAUACCCCUGGUAGUCC
rnacentral:rRNA from 1 species